AACGCACAUUGCGCCCGCCAGUAUUCUGGCGGGCAUGCCUGUCUGAGCGUCAUUUCAACCCUCAUGCCCCAGCGGUGUGGUGUUGGGGAUCGGCCCGCCUGGGCCGUCCCCUAAAUCUAUUGGCGGACUCGCUGUAGCCUCACUCUGCGUAGUAGUGAUAUUUCGCAUUGGAGAGCGGCGAGCCCCUGCCGUAAAACCCCAACUUCUCAGGUUGACCUCAGAUCAGGUAGGAAUACCCGCUGAACUUAA
rnacentral:misc_RNA from 1 species